AGUGAACGCUGGCGGCGUGCUUAACACAUGCAAGUCGAACGAACCCUUCGGGGUUAGUGGCGCACGGGUGCGUAACGCGUGGGGAUCUGCCCAAAGGUUCGGAAUAACUCAGAGAAAUUUGAGCUAAUACCGGAUAAUGUCUUCGGACCAAAGAUUUAUUGCCUUUGGAUGAACCCGCGUAGGAUUAGCUUGUUGGUGGGGUAAAGGCCUACCAAGGCGACGAUCCUUAGCUGGUCUGAGAGGAUGAUCAGCCACACUGGGACUGAGACACGGCCCAGACUCCUACGGGAGGCAGCAGUGGGGAAUAUUGGACAAUGGGCGAAAGCCUGAUCCAGCAAUGCCGCGUGAGUGAUGAAGGCCUUAGGGUUGUAAAGCUCUUUUACCAGGGAUGAUAAUGACAGUACCUGGAGAAUAAGCUCCGGCUAACUCCGUG
rnacentral:rRNA from 1 species